UGGGAUAACUCUGGGAAACUGGGGAUAAUACUGGAUAUUAGGCUAUGCCUGGAAUGGUUUGCCUUUGAAAUGUUUUUUUUCGCCUAAGGAUAGGUCUGCGGCUGAUUAGGUCGUUGGUGGGGUAAUGGCCCACCAAGCCGAUGAUCGGUACGGGUUGUGAGAGCAAGGGCCCGGAGAUGGAACCUGAGACAAGGUUCCAGACCCUACGGGGUGCAGCAGGCGCGAAACCUCCGCAAUGUACGAAAGUGCGACGGGGGGAUCCCAAGUGUUAUGCUUUUUUGUAUGACUUUUCAUUAGUGUAAAAAGCUUUUAGAAUAAGAGCUGGGCAAGACCGGUGCCAGCCGCCGCGGUAACACCGGCAGCUCGAGUGGUAGCUGUUUUUAUUGGGCCUAAAGCGUUCGUAGCCGGUUUGAUAAGUCUUUGGUGAAAGCUUGUAGCUUAACUAUAAGAAUUGCUGGAGAUACUAUUAGACUUGAAGUCGGGAGAGGUUAGAGGUACUACCGGGGUAGGGGUGAAAUCCUAUAAUCCUGGGAGGACCACCUGUGGCGAAGGCGUCUAACUGGAACGAUCUUGACGGUGAGUAACGAAAGCCAGGGGCGCGAACCGGAUUAGAUACCCGGGUAGUCCUGGCCGUAAACGAUGUGGACUUGGUGUUGGAAUGGCUUUGAGUUGUUCCGGUGCCGAAGGGAAGCUGUUAAGUCCACCGCCUGGGAAGUACGGUCGCAAGACUGAAACUUAA
rnacentral:rRNA from 1 species